AACGAACGCUGGCGGCAUGCCUAACACAUGCAAGUCGAACGAGACCUUCGGGUCUAGUGGCGCACGGGUGCGUAACGCGUGGGAACCUGCCCUUAGGUUCGGAAUAACUCCCCGAAAGGGGUGCUAAUACCGGAUAAUGUCUUCGGACCAAAGAUUUAUCGCCCUUGGAUGGGCCCGCGUUGGAUUAGCUAGUUGGUAGGGUAAAAGCCUACCAAGGCGACGAUCCAUAGCUGGUCUGAGAGGAUGAUCAGCCACACUGGGACUGAGACACGGCCCAGACUCCUACGGGAGGCAGCAGUGGGGAAUAUUGGACCAUGGGCGAAAUCCUGAUCCAGCAAUGCCGCGUGAGUGAUGUAGGCCUUAGGGUUGUAAAGCUCUUUUACCCGGGAUGAUAAUGACAGUACCGGGAGAAUAAGCUCCGGCUAACUCCGUG
rnacentral:rRNA from 1 species